ACGAACGCUGGCGGCGUGCUUAACACAUGCAAGUCGAACGGUGAAGCGCCUUCCUUUUUGGUGGGUGUGGAUGAGUGGCGAACGGGUGAGUAACACGUGAGUAACCUGCCCCCUUCUUCUGGAUAACCGCAUGAAAGUGUGGCUAAUACGGGAUAUUCUGGGUCUGUCGCAUGAUGGGUCUGGGAAAGAUAUUGUUUCGGUGGGGGGUGGGCUCGCGGCCUAUCAGCUUGUUGGUGGGGUGAUGGCCUACCAAGGCGGUGACGGGUAGCCGGCCUGAGAGGGUGGACGGUCACACUGGGACUGAGACACGGCCCAGACUCCUACGGGAGGCAGCAGUGGGGAAUAUUGCACAAUGGGCGCAAGCCUGAUGCAGCGACGCCGCGUGAGGGAUGGAGGCCUUCGGGUUGUGAACCUCUUUCGCCAGUGAAGCAGGCCUGCCUCGUUUGUGGGUGGGUUGACGGUAGCUGGAUAAGAAGCGCCGGCUAACUACGUG
rnacentral:rRNA from 1 species